rnacentral:sRNA from 1 species
AAUCUAAACUCGAAAGUAAAGGUAUUUCCGGGCAUGAUUCCAUAAUCCGUCGAAGAUAAAAACCCUCUCGUUCAGGGUUCCUUCGACGGUCACAGCCGGAAACGGUUGUGUUCGGGCCGCAAGGUCCGAA